AGUAUGUACAUGCAGGGCACGGUAAGUAUAUCAAUUUUUUUAAAAUGUUCUUUACAUGAUUCUAAAUUUUUUAGAUUACACAAAGCGCGGAUACAACUCUUUUGUAGCUUAAACACCCUGUUGAUUCCCGGACCCGAACCCCAAAUGGAGAUGCCAUAUGAGGCCACUGCAUGAAAACAAGAGAAAUAUGCUGUUCUUACUACUUCAGGUUCGGUACACUUCACCAAUCUUCGCACCAUAAAAACUGCACUCGCGAGUCUUCUACAAAGGGCACUCACAUGGUCAUCCCAGGCAAACGGGAAACAAUCAUCGAAGACUGCACAGAAUAUAUUAUGAAAAACAUCAUACAACUCACCUGCGUUCUCGGAUUUUUGGAGAGGCUGCCAAUCCACUGUGGAAAGAGCGAUUUUAAAAAAAUCUUUGUUGGUUAUCAUCAGUAUUUGUCCGUAGUGGUCAC
rnacentral:lncRNA from 1 species